UUUUUGCAUGAUAUUAGGCCAGUAGCUGUGCGUUGUGCUGUUGCCUUGGGUGAAGAAGGCGAUAUGGUUUCUGCCCAUUUUGCUGCUCCUGCUUUUGAAGAUUAUAGACAGAUGGUUCAAUAUUUUCAAGGAAAACUGAACUGUUCCCUUGAAAUUAUUCCGAGUGUCAUUUUAUGUAAAGUUUGUCUCUUGAAUACUCUAAACUGCAGGUGGUUGCUGGUAAAGGCCAUGAAACAUAUCAGAUUGAAGGUGACAAAAAAGAAUUCCUUGACGACUGGGAAGCGUAGCAGUACGUUGACGAGCUUCACCAAGCUGGGAUAGACACAAGUGAAUUCCCAUGGAGGUUACCAGGAAGCCAUUGAUUUAGUGUCAGAGAGGAAUUGGUCGAUACUGAACCUAUCCAAUGCAACGAAGAGAACAAUAGUUUUGGGUUUUGUCUUGUAUAAAAGUAGAAUCUAUUCAAUUCCCAACGGUAGUUAUCAAAAGGAAGAGAAUGCUUCGUGGCUGGAAAGAUCUUCACGGUGCAAUCCUCGAUGAAAGCUUCAGAAAGGGUAUGGUAACCGGUAAGAUCUGCACUUGCAAUCCCUUAAAAUGAGUUUGUAAAAGCUAUUUUUUUGCCCCGUUGGUUUUUUCAGGUCUUUGUGCAGUCUAAAGUCUGGUGUAAACAUAUAGGGUGGGAAUAUGAAAAUUCUGAUCCUGUGAAGUACCAGAGGUACACAUUUGCAUGCAGAACUGCAUGGACAUGGACUACUGACUGUAUGCCAAGUGUGAGGAAUCCUUCGAUGUUCUUUUCAGUAUACCAAAUUGGUUUUUGUGCUUCAAUGGUCCGUUUCAAGAUUGUUAAAAUCGCAAGUUAACUAUUUUACAAGUCAAUUUGUAUUUAGCAUGCAAAAUUGGUCGGACUCAACUUGGUAAACUCGGUAAAAUCAUGCAAACUCUUGAUUUUGCACUGAUUUUAUACUAGUUUUGAGUAAGGAUGUCCCUCGUGUUGAAGUAGAUCAAUUCAUGGGGAUCACUGAAAUAGUAAAUCCCAAUUUCUA